rnacentral:rRNA from 1 species
CUAACACAUGCAAGUCGACCGAGAUCUUCGGAUCCUAGUGGCGCACGGGUGCGUAACGCGUGGGAAUUUGCCCUUGGGUUCGGAAUAACAGUUAGAAAUGACUGCUAAUACCGGAUGAAGUCUACGGACCAAAGAUUUAUCGCCCAGGGAUGAGCCCGCGUAGGAUUAGCUAGUUGGUGGGGUAAAGGCCUACCAAGGCGACGAUCCUUAGCUGGUCUGAGAGGAUGAUCAGCCACACUGGGACUGAGACACGGCCCAGACUCCUACGGGAGGCAGCAGUGGGGAAUAUUGGACAAUGGGGGCAACCCUGAUCCAGCAAUGCCGCGUGAGUUGAUGAAGGCCUUCGGUUCGUAAAGCUCUUUUACCCGGGAUGAUA